rnacentral:rRNA from 1 species
GACGAACGCUGGCGGCGUGCUUAACACAUGCAAGUCGAACGGAAAGGCCCUGCUUUUGUGGGGUGCUCGAGUGGCGAACGGGUGAGUAACACGUGAGUAACCUGCCCUUGACUUUGGGAUAACUUCAGGAAACUGGGGCUAAUACCGGAUAGGAACUCCUGCUGCAUGGUGGGGGUGGGAAAGUUUCGGCGGUUUGGGAUGGACUCGCGGCUUAUCAGCUUGUUGGUGGGGUAGUGGCUUACCAAGGCUUUGACGGGUAGCCGGACUGAGAGGGUUACCGGCCACAUUGGGACUGAGAUACGGCCCAGACUCCUACGGGAGGCAGCAGUGGAGAAUAUUGCACAAUGGGCGGAAGCCGUAUGCAGCAACUCCGCGUGCGGGAUGACGGCCUUCGGGUUGUAAACCGCUUUCGCCUGUGACGAAGCGUGAGUGACGGUAAUGGGUAAAGAAGCACCGGCUAACUACGUG